AUUGAACGCUGGCGGCAGGCCUAACACAUGCAAGUCGAACGAGCGGCGGACGGGUGAGUAAUGUAUGGGAAACUGCCUGAUGGAGGGGGAUAACUACUGGAAACGGUAGCUAAUACCGCAUACCAUCGGAUGUGCCCAGAUGGGAUUAGCUAGUUGGUGGGGUAACGGCUCACCAAGGCGACGAUCCCUAGCUGGUCUGAGAGGAUGACCAGCCACACUGGAACUGAGACACGGGCCAGGCUCCUACGGGAGGCAGCAGUGGGGAAUAUUUCACAAUGGGCGCAAGCCUGAUGCAGCCAUGCCGCGUGUAUGAAGAAGGCCUUCAGGUUUUAAAGUACUUUCAGCGGGGAGGCGUUACCCGCAGAAGAAGCACCGGCUAACUCCGUGCCAGCAGCCGCGGUAAUUC
rnacentral:rRNA from 1 species